UAGAAUAUGGUGUAAUAGGUAACACAGACAGUUUUGAGUUCUCAGGUAUGGGUUCAAUUCCUAUAAUUCUAG
rfam:Callithrix jacchus chromosome 10, whole genome shotgun sequence